AGGGUGUAAACGCUGCAGACUUGGUGUUGGAAGCCCUUUGGGGGCAUUCAGUGCCGGAGAGAAGUUGUUAAGUCUGCUACUUGGGGAGUACGUCCGCAAGGAUGAAACUUAAAGGAAUUGGCGGGGGAGCACCGCAACGGGAGGAGCGUGCGGUUUAAUUGGAUUCAACACCGUAAAACUCACCAGGGAAGACUGUUACAUGAAGGCCGAGAUGAAGACUCUGCUAGAUUUUUCAGAGAGGAGGUGCAUGGCGUCAGUGACU
rnacentral:rRNA from 1 species